AGUGGCGGACGGGUGAGUAACGCGUAAGAAUCUAACUUCAGGACGGGGACAACGGUGGGAAACGACUGCUAAUACCCGAUGUGCCGCGAGGUGAAACCUAAUUGGCCUGAAGAAGAGCUUGCGUCUGAUUAGCUAGUUGGUGGGGUAAGAGCCUACCAAGGCGACGAUCAGUAGCUGGUCUGAGAGGAUGAGCAGCCACACUGGGACUGAGACACGGCCCAGACUCCUACGGGAGGCAGCAGUGGGGAAUUUUCCGCAAUGGGCGAAAGCCUGACGGAGCAACGCCGCGUGAGGGAGGAAGGUCUUUGGAUUGUAAACCUCUUUUCUCAAGGAAGAAGUUCUGACGGUACUUGAGGAAUCAGCCUCGGCUAACUCCGUGCCAGCAGCCGCGGUAAUACGGGGGAGGCAAGCGUUAUCCGGAAUUAUUGGGCGUAAAGCGUCCGCAGGUGGUCAGCCAAGUCUGCCGUCAAAUCAGGUUGCUUAACGACCUAAAGGCGGUGGAAACUGGCAGACUAGAGAGCAGUAGGGGUAGCAGGAAUUCCCAGUGUAGCGGUGAAAUGCGUAGAGAUUGGGAAGAACAUCGGUGGCGAAAGCGUGCUACUGGGCUGUAUCUGACACUCAGGGACGAAAGCUAGGGGAGCGAAAGGGAUUAGAUACCCCUGUAGUCCUAGCCGUAAACGAUGGAUACUAGGCGUGGCUU
rnacentral:rRNA from 1 species